rnacentral:rRNA from 1 species
GUGAAUAAGGGCAUACGGUGGAUGCCUUGGCGGAAACAGGCGAUGAAGGACGUGGGCACCUGCGAAAAGCCUCGGGGAGCUGGUAAACGAGCUGUGAUCCGGGGAUGUCCGAAUGGGGAAACCCGACUCUUAGGAGUCAUUGCUGAUGGAAUACAUAGAGUCAGCAAAGCGAACGCGGUGAACUGAAACAUCUCAGUAGCUGCAGGAACAGAAAUCAACCGAGA